CGUUCUAUGGCCAAAUUGGUAAAUGCAUCGCCGAUCACAGGAUGCGGGUUCGAGUCCCGCUGGAACGG
rnacentral:tRNA from 1 species